ACGAUUAUUACAUUUUUAUUGAAUAGUCAAAUUUCAUGGAAUAAAAUGUUUAUAAAACAAUUUUCCAAAAUGGCAAACCAAACGUAAUUUUCUAAUUUUUCUGUUUUGAGAAUUAUUUUUUUUUAAAUGAUUAAACAAAAAGAAUUUUUAGCAAUUUUAAAACAGGCCCACAAAGCAAAAAAAUUGAAAAUAACUUCAAAAUUCAAAUCUAAAAACCAAAACACAAACCAAACAGCCCUAAUAUUUCCUUUAUUUCAAUUUUCUACUAAUCAAUUGUCAAAAGAAUAAUACUAAUUGCACAUACCUUUUAUACACUUUUUUGUACAAAAAUCAUGGUUUGGGUGGUCGAGGGACUCCAACAGAUAAAUUUUGCAAUAGGAGAAAAUUUCUCCCCUGUUUGUGAUCAUGCGUGCAAGGCCAAUUUCCAAACAUGAGCCAUAAUGGCUCGAGUCAUGCUCACCAUGGCCCAGUGUCAACCCCAUCAUACAUGUGUGGUUUAGCUUUCUCCUAUUCCACUAUCUCAUUGAAGAACCUAGAAUUCCAAAUUGGAACAGGUGCGUAAGUUUGUUGGAAUGUCAAGAAAAAACCUACUUCAAAGGAGAGAACAUUGAUAUGGGAAGUCGCGGAAUACUGGGUUAUGUCUGUAGCCACUAGGAAGGUGAUUUGGUUAAACAAACUUCUAUUCGAUCUUUGCAUUUAUUUCAUCGUUGCAAUGCCUUUUCAUUGUGAUAAUAACAACAAACACACACACACACACACACACACACACACACACACACACACACACAUUCACAAAGGCAAUUUCAACAUCUUCUCAAAAAUUCACCACACUUCAACAAAUUUUCUCCAUAAAUCACUUGACCAUUUAAGUUCCAACAUAAUUAUACAUCAUAUAAAACUAGUUUUAGAAACAUUAAAUUUCAAGAAAUCCAAGGGUCUAAACUUUGAAGAUUUUCAAUUUUUGAUACUUUUCUUGAUUUCUUCCACUUGAUUGAAAAAAUUUCAUAUGUUUGAUGGAGAACGGGAUUAGUUGUAAUGGAGGCUAUGUAUUAGUUGAAAACGUUGGUAUUAAACACAUAUAUGUCAAUUUUUUUUGUCCCUACAUAAAAUCAUGCCCAUUACAUGCUCCAAAAGAAAAAGGGGUAAUUAUAUUACCACUACAAAAUUUAGUAGUUACACCACAUUUUUUUAUUUACUUAUUUAGUCAUAAGUAAAAUUACAUAAAUGGGUUUUAAAUAUAUUUAUUAUAUAAAACAAUUUAUCGUGCCACCAUAAUCAUAUCAACUUACAAUACCUUUUUUCUGAAGGUCAUAUGAAAGAAAAUCGCCAUUAGCAGAGAGUUUGGGUACGAGGAGCUCGACCCGAGGAAGAAAAUUAUGUGGUGUUUAAUCCAUAGCAAGUCUACGACCCAAUGGUCGGCAUUCUGAUGCAGCAAGUUGCAGAAACUGUUCUAAUUGCUUCUUGAAUAAUACAAAUGUAGCCUGAGGGCACUAAUUUGACAUCAAGUAUUGGCAACUUUUUCAUCUGGCUGACUGUUGAAGAUUAUGAUUCGACUAGGAUAUGAGAAGGGAAAUGGGACAUAGGAUUGGGGGAGUCAUCUCCGCCUCAUUAUUUGGUAAAUCUUCAGUGAAAUUUAUUUUGUGGGUUUCUCUAUUUCUUUGGCUCAAUUCAGCACAAAUAAAUUGUGAUGUUGUUUUGGAAUCAAACACAAGUGUAGUUAAAAAAAAUUAUAUAUAUUUGGGGGCGGGAGACUGAUCUUUUGGUACAUGGACUAAUUAAGUUUUACUUUUUCCUUUUCCAUUUGUCUUUCUAUAUAUUUAGAAUAUCUUUUCUUACAAUGGAAGGUACAAAUCCUUUUUCUCAGCGCUUCUUAAUAAUUUAACUCACUUGUGGCUUUUUAUUUUCAGAGAGUUGGGGGUUCUUGGGAUGGAUAUUAGCUGAUAGAACUUUCCUUCACGAUGGAGAAAAUGAUAGGUAAAAAGAUGCAUUCAGGUUUGGAUUCUGAAUUCUGGAGUUUCUGGAUGGAAAAACACAAUAUCUUGAAAAAACCCAAGAAUCCUAGUAAUUUUGUGUUUUUUUCUAAAAACCCAGGAAGGGGGAAAAAGAUGAGAAAAAGGAGGAGGGAUAUUGGG
rnacentral:lncRNA from 1 species